rnacentral:lncRNA from 1 species
CCUUACAUGUCCUGCCUUCCCGAACCAAACGGAGUCAAGGUACAAGACACGAGGGGGAUUUACAAGCGUCAGGGAGGAUAGUAGAACACUCUGUGACUUACCACCCUGGAUGCAUUGUUGAAGGUGAAUGACGAAUUGAACUGUUUUUAGUAAUUAAUUUUACUUUAAAGUCGAAGUUUAUAAUUUCCUUUUCAAUCUGCUAGACUCAAAUCAUAUUGGUAGGCAAAUGAUUGUAAACAUGAAUCAAUAAUCAUAUUUACUACAUAAUUUGCAAUUCUGACAGCGUCAUCGAUCAUUUUCCAAAGGCAACUUUCCCAUGGCGAAACUUCAUUCUACUAGUUAACAAAAUGUAGGUGUAAUACCCAAUUUUGCCCGGACUCAAUUAAAUAAGCACAAAAAAAUCAAAAAAUCAAAAUAAUAAAACAGUCCAGUU